UUUCUAAUGAGUGAUGACCAGAACUUUUUUCCCCAUCAUAUCGAUCAUGCUGAAUGGUGAUAUAUAAAGCUAACCUCUGUCUGACAUCAGUAC